rnacentral:piRNA from 1 species
UGAUCUGAUAGGCGCUGCAGUGGAGAUGG